rnacentral:misc_RNA from 1 species
UGCCCAAAUUUAAACAACGGUUCUCUGCAUUUGAUAGGAUUAAAUCAAAUAUCAGUAGAAAGCAACCAGAUUAUCUGCUCAAAAGAAUUCCCAGGAAGAUUGAGUGAGACAAGUUGAACUGAAUUGCUGUCAAGUAUGAUUUCAUAUCCAUAUUAUCAUCAAGCAAUGUCAAAUAAUUUCCACAACAUAUAUGAAUAUUCUACCAAGCCUUUUGCUGCAUCCCAGUACAUUUAAGCACAAGCGCAAGUAAGCUAACUGCUGCCUUAACCUAGUAGUACACAUGAGGCUUUUUAGAGAGUAAGUGCUAGGGUUCAAAUCUCACCAAUGAUGAGUCACUACGAGAGAGCUGAAAUUUUCACCCAAAAUAUGCUCACUUGCUGAAACUCACUCAGAACUUAAUCAUUUACUUGGCUCCGUAAAUAAAUAACUGAAAUCCAAGUAUUUAAAAUUGAGAUCUUAAUUCAAAUAACAUAAACAAAGGUCAAGGAAGAAAGGGAAAUAAAUUCCACCAGAGCUUUUUGAGAAUGUAAUUGAAAUAAUACCUUAUCCUUAGCUAAUUUAAAUCCAUCCUACGAUAAGUUUUUCAUCUCUUCCAAGAAUUUUAUAGGAACUAAUAAAAAUAAAACUAAAUAAUUAAACCUCAUCCAAGUUAUUUAAAUAAAAGAAUGAAUCCAAGUCCCCCCUCCCAAAUCCAUAAAGCCAAAUGCAACCUUAAGGAAU